rnacentral:rRNA from 1 species
CCUACGGGGGGCAGCAGUGAGGAAUAUUGGUCAAUGGACGAGAGUCUGAACCAGCCAAGUAGCGUGAAGGAUGACUGCCCUAUGGGUUGUAAACUUCUUUUAUAUGGGAAUAAAAUGUUCCACGUGUGGGAUUUUGUAUGUACCAUAUGAAUAAGGAUCGGCUAACUCCGUGCCAGCAGCCGCGGUAAUACGGAGGAUCCGAGCGUUAUCCGGAUUUAUUGGGUUUAAAGGGAGCGUAUGUGGAUUGUUAAGUCAGUUGUGAAAGUUUGCGGCUCAACCGUAAAAUUGCAGUUGAAACUGGCAGUCUUGAGUACAGUAGAGGUGGGCGGAAUUCGUGGUGUAGCGGUGAAAUGCUUAGAUAUCACGAAGAACUCCGAUUGCGAAGGCAGUUCACUGGACUGCAACUGACACUGAGGCUCGAAAGUGUGGGUAUCAAACAGGAUUAGAUACCCUAGUAGUC